UGGAAAUAUAGUGCAGUGGUAGAACACUUGACUAGCAUUCAUGGGGCCCUGGGUUCAAUCUCCAAUACUAA
rnacentral:tRNA from 1 species